rnacentral:rRNA from 1 species
GAUGAACGCUGGCGGCGUGCCUAAUACAUGCAAGUCGAGCGAACAGACGAGGAGCUUGCUCCUCUGACGUUAGCGGCGGACGGGUGAGUAACACGUGGAUAACCUACCUAUAAGACUGGGAUAACUUCGGGAAACCGGAGCUAAUACCGGAUAAUAUAUUGAACCGCAUGGUUCAAUAUUGAAAGACGGUUUUGCUGUCACUUAUAGAUGUAUCCGCGCCGCAUUAGCUAGUUGGUAAGUUAACGGCUUACCAAGGCGACGAUGCGUAGCCGACCUGAGAGGGUGAUCGGCCACACUGGAACUGAGACACGGUCCAGACUCCUACGGGAGGCAGCAGUAGGGAAUCUUCCGCAAUGGGCGAAAGCCUGACGGAGCAACGCCGCGUGAGUGAUGAAGGUCUUCGGAUCGUAAAACUCUGUUAUUAGGGAAGAACAAAUGUGUAAGUAACUAUGCACGUCUUGACGGUACCUAAUCAGAAAGCCACGGCUAACUACGUG